rnacentral:rRNA from 1 species
AGUGAACGCUGGCGGUAGGCCUAACACAUGCAAGUCGAACGGCAGCACAGUAAGAGCUUGCUCUUACGGGUGGCGCGUGGCGGACGGGUGAGGAAUACAUCGGAAUCUACUUUUUCGUGGGGGAUAACGUAGGGAAACUUACGCUAAUACCGCAUACGACCUACGGGGGAAAGCAGGGGAUCGUCGGACCUUGCGCGAGUGAAUGAGCCGACGUCGGAUUAGCUAGUUGGCGGGGUAAAGGGCCACCAAGGCGACGAUCCGUAGCUGGUCUGAGAGGAUGAUCAGCCACACUGGACGUGAGACACGGUCCAGACUCCUACGGGAGGCAGCAGUGGGGAAUCUUGGACAAUGGGCGCAAGCCUGAUCCAGCCAUACCGCGUGGGUGAAGAAGGCCUUCGGGUUGUAAAGCCCUUUUGUUGGGAAAGAAAAGCAGCAGGUUAAUCCCCCGCUGUUCUGACGGUACCCAAAGAAUAAGCACCGGCUAACUUCGUG